GACGAACGCUGGCGGCGUGCUUAACACAUGCAAGUCGAACGGAAAGGCCCUGCUUUUGUGGGGUGCUCGAGUGGCGAACGGGUGAGUAACACGUGAGUAACCUGCCCUUGACUUUGGGAUAACUUCAGGAAACUGGGGCUAAUACCGGAUAGGAGCUCCUGCUGCAUGGUGGGGGUUGGAAAGUUUCGGCGGUUGGGGAUGGACUCGCGGCUUAUCAGCUUGUUGGUGGGGUAGUGGCUUACCAAGGCUUUGACGGGUAGCCGGCCUGAGCGGGUGACCGGCCACAUUGGGACUGAGAUGCGGCCCAGACUCCUACGGGAGGCAGCAGUGGGGAAUAUUGCACAAUGGGCGGAAGCCUGAUGCAGCAACGCCGCGUGCGGGAUGACGGCCUUCGGGUUGUAAACCGCUUUCGCCUGUGACGAAGCGUGAGUGACGGUAAUGGGUAAAGAAGCACCGGCUAACUACGUG
rnacentral:rRNA from 1 species